rnacentral:rRNA from 1 species
UACAGAGGGUGCGAGCGUUGUCCGGAAUCACUGGGCGUAACGGGCGCGUAGGUGACGGGAUAAGCGUGCGGUGCAAGCUCGGGGCUCAACUCCGCGUCUGCCGUGCGGACUGUCUUGCUCGAGCGUAGUAGAGGCAGGUGGAAUUCCGGGUGUAGCAGUGGAAUGCGUAGAGAUCCGGAAGAACAACGGUGGCGAAGGCGGCCUGCUGGGCUACUGCUGACACUGAGGCGCGACAGCGUGGGGAGCAAACAGG